GGCUAAGUGCUCCGAGUGGUUAAGGGGUGAGACUUGAAAUCUCAUGGCGAAAGCCUCGCAAGUUCAAAUCUUGUCUUAGUCG
rnacentral:tRNA from 4 species